GCCCAGACUCCUACGGGAGGCAGCAGUGGGGGAUAUUGCACAAUGGGGGGAACCCUGAUGCAGCGACGCCGCGUGGGUGAAGGAGUGCUUCGGCAUGUAAAGCCCUAUCGGCAGGGAAGAAGCAAGACGGUACCUGACUAAGAAGCCCCGGCUAACUACGUGCCAGCAGCCGCGGGAAUACGUAGGGGGCAAGCGUUAUCCGGAAUUACUGGGUGGAAAGGGAGCGUAGACGGUGAUGCAAGUCUGGAGUGAAAGGCGGGGGCCCAACCCCCGGACUGCUCUGGAAACUGUAUGACUUGAGUGCAGGAGAGGUAAGCGGAAUUCCUAGUGUAGCGGUGAAAUGCGUAGAUAUUAGGAGGAACACCAGUGGCGAAGGCGGCUUACUGGACUGUAACUGACGGUGAGGCUCGAAAGCGUGGGGAGCAAACAGGAUUAGAUACCCCGGUAUAC
rnacentral:rRNA from 1 species